rnacentral:lncRNA from 1 species
UUUUUAAUUAUUUUUAUGAGCGUGUCCUUACCCAUUCUUUCUUUUUGCAGCUCACCCAUUUGUUCCAGGGCCGCAUCUCUUCCCUGUCUCAUCUUCGUGACUCUCAGUCUACGGAAGACGAGUUGAAGAGAGUGAAGCGCCGAUGCAAAGAUCUGGAAGGUGAGGUUGCACAAAAAGUUUCAGACGCCUCAACUCUGUCUGCCACCAAUAAGAAGUUGUCUGCGGAUUGG